rnacentral:rRNA from 1 species
UACGUAGGGUGCGAGCGUUAAUCGGAAUUACUGGGCGUAAAGCGUGCGCAGGCGGUCUCGUAAGCUGGGUGUGAAAGCCCCGGGCUUAACCUGGGAAUGGUAUUCAGGACUGCGAGGCUCGAGUGUGGCAGAGGGAGGUGGAAUUCCACGUGUAGCAGUGAAAUGCGUAGAGAUGUGGAGGAACACCGAUGGCGAAGGCAGCCUCCUGGGCCAGCACUGACGCUCAUGCACGAAAGCGUGGGGAGCAAACAGG